rnacentral:rRNA from 1 species
UACCAGCACCCCGAGUGGUCGGGACGAUUAUUGGGCCUAAAGCAUCCGUAGCCGGUCCUGCAAGUCUUCCGUUAAAUCCAGCUGCUCAACAGAUGGGCUGCGGAAGAUACUAUAGGGCUAGGAGGCGGGAGAGGCAAGCGGUACUCAGUGGGUAGGGGUAAAAUCCUCUGAUCCAUUGAAGACCACCAGUGGCGAAGGCGGCUUGCCAGAACGCGCUCGACGGUGAGGGAUGAAAGCUGGGGGAGCAAACCGG